UGCCAUGUGGCAUAAUGGUUUGAGUGUUGGAUUGUGACUCUAAAGACCAGGGUUUGGUUCCUGAUUGGCCA